rnacentral:lncRNA from 1 species
GGGAGCUCAAGGAGCAGCUGGCUGAGCUGCAGAGCGGAUUUGUAAAGCUGGUGCGCUGCCCCACCUGGAGAGCCCGCCCUCCUCCCUAGCCCUCCAGACCUUUGUUUUCCCACCUGUAAAGUGGGGCAGUGUAGCCCUCACUUGAAAUGGUACUUCUGGAGGCAUCUGUGAGCCAGAGCCCUGCUCCGAUGGCUGUGGGGGAGAGGGGAUGAUUUUUCUAACCUGCCUCCACCCUUCCCGGUGCCAUGGGAGGCAGACACCAAGGCAGCAAGUUCUGGGGUCUCCAGCUGCAGUGGGUGGCCGCUGAUUGCUUCUCUCUGUCCAGACUAAUGAGAACAUGGAGAUCACCAGCGCACUGCAGUCGGAGCAGCACGUCAAGAGGGAGCUGGGAAAGAAGCUGGGCGAGCUGCAGGAGAAGCUGAGCGAGCUGAAGGAAACGGUGGAGCUGAAGAGCCAAGAGGCUCAAAGUCUGCAGCAGCAGCGAGACCAGUACCUGGGACACCUGCAGCAGUAUGUGGCCGCCUAUCAGCAGCUGACCUCUGAGAAGGAGGUGCUGCAUAAUCAGCUACUGCUGCAGACCCAGCUCGUGGACCAGCUGCAGCAGCAGGAAGCUCAGGGCAAAGCGGUGGCCGAGAUGGCCCGCCAAGAGUUGCAGGAAACCCAGGAGCGCCUGGAAGCUGCCACCCAGCAGAAUCAGCAGCUACGGGCCCAGUUGAGCCUCAUGGCUCACCCUGGGGAAGGAGAUGGACUGGACCGGGAGGAGGAG